CUGCAUGGUUGUCGUCAGCUCGUGCCGUGAGGUGUCGGGUUAAGUCCCAUAACGAGCGCAACCCUACUCAUUAGUUGCCAUCAGGUCAAGCUGGGGACUCUAAUGAAACUGCCUACGCAAGUAGUGAGGAAGGUGGGGGUGACGUCAAAUCAGCACGGCCCUUACGUCCAGGGCUACACACGUGCUACAAUGGCCGGUACAAAGGGCAGCUACCUGGUGACAGGAUGCUAAUCUCAAAAGCCGGUCUCAGUUCGGAUCGGAGUCUGCAACCCGACUCCGUGAAGCUGGAACCGCUAGUAAUCGCGCAUCAGCCAUGGCGCGGUGAAUACGUUCCCGGGCCUU
rnacentral:rRNA from 1 species